rnacentral:misc_RNA from 1 species
GAGAUUCGUGGCGUGAGCCACAUACACACACACACCGUGAACCGUGGGCCUCGGCCCCAUUACAAACCAUGUCGUAUCAGAACGUGAUCAUAUGUAACAAUGAAA